UACGAGGGGGGCAAGCGUUGUUCGGAAUUAUUGGGCGUAAAGGGUGCGUAGGCGGUUUGGUAAGUCUUAUGUGAAAUCUACAGGCUCAACUUGUAGUCUGCAUGAGAAACUGCCGGGCUUGAGUAUGGGAGAGGUGAGUGGAAUUCCUGGUGUAGCGGUGAAAUGCGUAGAUAUCAGGAGGAACACCUGUGGCGAAAGCGGCUCACUGGACCAUAACUGACGCUGAGGCGCGAAAGCGUGGGGAGCGAACAGG
rnacentral:rRNA from 1 species